CCUACUUUGACCUCGCUUAGUCCGCCUCCCUCCUCCCUACGUGUGCAGCCCCUUUCAGUGUGGUGUGGAGUGUCACUUAAUGUCCGUUUAUCUUCCAUUGCUGGUUCGUUUGUUUGUUUGUUUUGUAACGGGACUUUUCGGACCAUCCUAAUGGAUUCAUUUUGGGACCUGAAAGAGGUAACACAAAUGAGAGCCUUAAAAGCAGUCCCUGUCACUCGGUGUCUGGUGGUCUCUUGUUAAUUUCCCACGAAG
rnacentral:lncRNA from 10 species